UAAUGUCUACUCCAGCUUGU
rnacentral:misc_RNA from 1 species